CACAAAUCCAACCCCUCCCUUUUGCGAGCAUGCUUUCUCCAGCCAGACCAGUCGGACUCGAAGUGUUUGUAUUUAACAUGGCUGUAAGAAGCCCAUUAUGUGCACGGUUUAGGUGCGGUGUUGUGGUUCACGACUUGAGUUUGCAGAAGAAAUGACUUCCCUUAGUUUGAAGUAUGGAGGUGAAUAUUGGAGCAAUGUGACAAGGCCGCACCGGCGUGGGAAUGUGCUGGCCCGGUAAUAAACCCGGAUCGAUGCGGUGUUUUUGAGGCGAUUGCACAUCCACACGUGGGCAGGAGGAUGGCGUACUUUCAGAUGAAGGUUGGCCGAGGCCUCUUCUGAUUCUAUGACGGAUUGCAGGAGAGGAUUGAUUCCUGGAACAGCAGAUGGGAUUAAAAGAUCGGACUGCAAUGCUCAACAGAGGCACUACUGGAAACGUUGCAUCAUGACUCUUGGGUUAUGUGUUUUUCAACCCGAAGACAUACUUUAUUAUUCUAUAUGAUGUAACACAUGCCCUGUAUGAAUAAAGCAUUUUUCAACAAACACAA